rnacentral:snoRNA from 1 species
ACGACCUUACUUGAACAGGAUCUGUUCUAUAGGCUCGUACCGCUGCAUCCUUUACCAGUAAGGAGGCGAGCACUUCAGCCAGAGCGUGAUUAACGGCCAGGAUUUAUCUGAUGGAUGGAUCCGACGGCUGUAGAGGAUCGUUCCUGCCUGGCUCACGCCUGUGCAGGGUGGCCCAGUGGUUGUCUGAC